UACGUAGGGGGCAAGCGUUGUCCGGAAUCACUGGGCGUAAAGCGCGCGCAGGCGGUCAUCUACGUCUGGGGUGAAAGCCCGGAGCUCAACUCCGGGAUUGCCUUGGAUACGGGAUGACUUGAGGAGUCGGAGAGGCAGGGGAAUUCCACGUGUAGCGGUGAAAUGCGUAGAGAUGUGGAGGAACACCUGUGGCGAAGGCGCCUUGCUGGCCGAUUUCUGACGCUGAGGCGCGAAAGCGUGGGGAGCAAACAGG
rnacentral:rRNA from 1 species